rnacentral:rRNA from 1 species
CAAUCAAUAAAGGGCAUAUGGUGGAGACCUAGGGACCUAGAGCCGAUGAAGGGCGUGACAACCGACGAUAUGCCUCGGGGAGCAGGACGUAUGCACUGAUCCGAGGAUUCCCGAAUGGGGCAACCCAAUGCAUUCCUUCUUGAAUUCAUAGAGAAGAGAAAGACAACUUAGUGAACUGAAACAUCUUAGUAGCUAAAGGAAAAGAAAGCAAAAGCGAUUCCCAAAGUAGCGGCGAGCGGAAUGGGAACAGCCUAAAAGGACUUUAACAGUAAUGUAAAGACCAGGUCAUGGGACCAAACAUAUGGCAUUGUAUGGAAUGAGAAACGAAACAGCUGAAACCUGUACCAUAGAUGGUGAAAGUCCAGUCGUUGAAUCACUACCAACUCCAGCCGUUUGGCUCCCGAGUAGUAUGGGACACGUGAAAUCCCGUAUGAAUUUGCGAGGACCACCUCGUAAGGCUAAAUACUCCUAGGUCACCGAUAGCGAAUAGUACCGCGAGGGAAAGGUGAAAAGAACCCCUUUACGGGGAGUGAAAUAGAACAUGAAACCGUAUGCUUACAAUUUGUGGGAGGAUGAACACAUCUGACCGCAUGCCUGUUGAAGAAUGAGCUGGCGACUUAGAAGAAGUGGCAGGGUAAGAU